UCCUUUAAUUAAUAUGCCCUAAAAUGGGUCCUAAUAGGCAUCACCUAACCACAUUAUCAAACACGCCCCAAACAUGAAUAAAAAACACCUUAAAAGCAAUUUCCAGUUACCCCUUCCUAUGAGUUGCCAUACCCUGCCAAAAGAAAUUUCCAACACAAUAGAAACCUGGCCUCAGUUCGACUACCACAAGUCCACAACCAUUCCAUCAACAUCACGAUCUCGAACGAUCAAGAUCUGCGAUUUUACAGAUCUGGGUUCCUGACGCCCCCAUCAAGAUCACCUCCUGCACCAUCUGACAACCAGCUCCUUAUAUUGCAACCAACCGCCAUAAUCGAACAGGCGGUGAUGGUGCUUACGACGGUGGUUUUAAAAUCGCACAGCUGCCACUUCACGCUGCAAUUCAAACUGCCAGAUCCCUUACAAUCUCCAUAUAUGGAUCCUUUUUUCAAACAACGCUCGAGACAAUCCAGUGCAGACUCACAAGAAGGAUCUUCAAUCACAUACCUGCAACUUGGUUCUACCUCUUGCAUCAUCCUCUCUUCUGCAACUAUUAAUUUUAUAUAUUUAGUAUUAUCAAAAUUGACAAUCUAGUCUCACAUAUUUUUAAACGGUCAUUUGAAGGUUAAGGCUUCCGUGGUAGCCUUCCUACUUUUAAACUACUCUUUGAAGGUUAGGACUAUGUCAUAGUUCUUACCUUUAGACGAUCGUUUAAGUUAAGAGGUGUGGUAUUUGAGUUU